AGACUGGGAUAACUCGUGGAAACGCGAGCUAAUACCGGAUAAUACAACCGACCUCCUGGCAGGUUGUUGAAAGGUGGCUCUUUUGAGCUAUCACUUACAGAUGGGCCCGCGGCGCAUUAGCUAGUUGGUGAGGUAACGGCUCACCAAGGCAACGAUGCGUAGCCGACCUGAGAGGGUGAUCGGCCACACUGGGACUGAGACACGGCCCAGACUCCUACGGGAGGCAGCAGUAGGGAAUCUUCCGCAAUGGACGAAAGUCUGACGGAGCAACGCCGCGUGAGUGAAGAAGGUCUUCGGAUCGUAAAGCUCUGUUAUCGGAGAAGAACACGGAGUGCAGUAACUGGCAUUCCGCUGACGGUAUCCGACCAGAAAGUCACGGCUAACUACGUGCCAGCAGCCGCGGUAAUACGUAGGUGACAAGCGUUGUCCGGAUUUAUUGGGCGUAAAGCGAGCGCAGGCGGUCUUUUAAGUCUGAUGUGAAAGCCCACGGCUCAACCGUGGAUGGUCAUUGGAAACUGGAAGACUUGAAUGCAGAAGAGGA
rnacentral:rRNA from 1 species